AUUGAACGCUGGCGGCAGGCCUAACACAUGCAAGUCGAACGAGUGGCGGACGGGUGAGUAAUGUCUGGGAAACAGCCCGAUGGAGGGGGAUAACUACUGGAAACGGUAGCUAAUACCGCAUACCAUCGGAUGUGCCUCGAUGGGAUUAGCAGGUAGGUGGGGUCACGGCUCACCUAGGCGACGAUCCCUAGCUGGUCUGAGAGGAUGACCGGCCAUACUGGAGCUAAGACACGGUCCAGACACCUACGGGAGGCAGCAGUGGGGAAUAUUGCACAAUAGGCGCAAGCCUGAUGCAGCCAUGCCGCGUGUAUGAAGAAGGCCUUGGGGUUGUAAAGUACUUUAAGCGAGAAGGCGUUACUCGCAGAAGAAGCACCGGCUAACUCCGUGCCAGCAGCCGCGGUAAUUC
rnacentral:rRNA from 1 species